rnacentral:lncRNA from 1 species
ACUCUCGAUAAAACUGACGAAAUGAGUGUACAUAUAACGUAUCUUGGUAACCAGAGAAGCUGCAUCUGAACAAAGCUGCAAAAUCUGCAUUCACUCUUAAGGCAACCGCUUGGUGCUUCUCUGGCCCUGCCUUGUUCUCAAUUGUUAGGUCCCGUGCCAGAAACCCGUCGCCGGACAGAGCUGCAAUUAACAAGUUUACAUUGAGAUAUUUUAAAGAUUAGUGCUAACGACACUUUCAGCACUAGUAGAAAUUUUUUCAUUUUAUCUCUAAAGUUCAAAUAUUAAUGGACAAAAAGGCACGAUGCUCUAAAAAGUGUUUUGAAAAUUACCUACUGUUGCAGAUCUGAAAGUGGUCCAGCCAUCGCCCACACUUCUGCUUCCGGUGAUGAUAGUUGAAUCUUUACCGCCUCCAAGCAGAAAAAUGUUGGUCUUAUAGCUUGGAAUUUCCAAAUUCUCCUCAUAAACCCCUUGUUUGAUAUUGAUGACUACUCUAUCAUCGCUGUUAUUGGGAGCAAAAUUUAUCGCAUCAGUGAUGGUAGUGAAAUCUCCUGUUCCAUCGGCAGCCACAGUCAGCACUUGACUCUGGUCAUACUCAUUAUCGUCAUCGGAGCUCUGCAGAAUCCGGCGAUCUUUUCUUGACAACCAUUCUGGAAAUCCCAUUAGGCGGCGGCGGUGUUUGUUGCCUUCUGUCGUAGCUGGCUUUGGAAGUGCUGACAGGGAGUUGCUCACAUACCUGUAAGUACUUGUUAUAGAGUUCACUAAAGGUUGCUUCAAAGAACCUGAAGCAGAGUUAAGGCUCUCUAAACAAGUAUUCUUAUUUGUUAGAGCUGCACUGAGAUAUGCUCUUGCAUCGGAUAAGGUUUUAGCAUCAUGAGCUGCACGGAUUUUCGGGAGAGAUUUCUGUAAAGCGGAUAAUGUGAUUUGGUGAAGUUCUUUACAAUCUUGGACUGUGCCUCUCUGUUUCUCGACAAUAUUAGAGCUGCCUGCACCGGACAAUAGAUUGGUGACCUUCCCGGCUUCGGAUAUGGCCAUUUGGAGAGUUUGAAGCAAGAAGUUGAUGAUGUUUGGGCUGAUAUUGAUUGAUAUAGAGAGCUUCAAUGACUCAAAACAAGCAUCUGGGUGCGGAGUGCUUUUGCAAAAAUUGCUUAUUGAAGAUAUGUUGGUAUGUAGAGAAGUUGUUGAAGGAGUGCUUAGAGUAGCUGUGAUGGAGAUGGAGAUUGUGAAGAGGAGCAAGGUGAGUUUCAGAAAGGAGGAAGCAGCCAUGACAGCCGAUAUGAAGAAGGCAGAGUGAAUUGAUUCACUAUAUUUAAAAUGUUGAAGAUAAGAGAGUGGCUAAUCGCUGAUUGUUCUUAAAUAAUGUUUUGGGGUGGAGGGGAACAAAAUUGUAUGGAGUUUGUGUGACUUAUUUUUUUUUGUCUUAUCCGAGGUAUCCUGGGAGGGCCCCAAUUGUGGGAGGUACCUUUAAGCCCGUACCACAACCCAGACUCGAAGUUCCCGCUCGAACCGGGAGGCACAGGUUCUCCCAACAAAGGCGACUUCCCUGCGACUCGAACUGGGGAGCAAACUCAGUCAAGCCACUUAAGGGGACUCCAUUGCCAGUAGAGCCAACACUUUGUUGGUUUUGUGUGACUUAUAAUAUUGAAUUGCAUGGAUUUUAGUGACGGUGAUCUUUGAAAAUUGGGAGAUGAUUAUUUGACCGUGUCUCUAAAAUACUUGUUUACAUUUGCUUUGGGAUAAAAGCAAUUCAUAGAUGCAUAAUAUUUGUAUAUUCUUUUAAUUUUCACGGCAGGCUAGAGGGAGAGAGAGAGAUUCUAUAGCCAUGUCUGCCCUUGCCAGUCUUUGAAUGUACUUGAGAAGCGGCCAGUAUUAGAAGAAAUUUAGAAUGCAUUUAAAGUAUAUUGCCCAUUAAAAGUAUAUUGCCCGUCAUAUAAAAGUAAAUAACAUUAUAUCAUAUAUUAUAUAUUAAAUUUUUUUAUGAUUUUUUUGCUGCUUUCAUUUUUUUUAUUAAACUAUUUUAAACGAUAAAAUUGAUUGAAAUCCUCAUUGUCAAUACUUUUAUCAAAGAUUCAAAAUAAUGAAUUUUAUCCAUCUAUUAAUUCAAACACUCGUAAAAUUACUUGUUAAAACAAUAUUUAAUAGAUCAAGGGCAUAAAUCAAUGUUGUUAUUGACAAUUUAUAUGCUUAAGGAUUAAACAAUUAUAAUUUGGUUUUUGUAGCACAAUUGAUUAUUUUAAGAUUUACUUGACAGCUAGUGGUGUUUACUAAACACCCUAUCACCCUUCUCUCGAAUGUGAAAAUGAUUUGUUGUUAAGGGUGUCAAAGGAAAGUGUCAGGCUGUAGAAAUAGCAAUCAAUGAGUCAGGAAUUAAGGAAAGGAAUCAAGAAAAUCAGCCAAAAGAUCAGCCUUGACUGCAAGCUAAUAAAGUCGAGAUUUCCUCUGUCAAUAGCAAUCACGAUUUCUUCAAUUGUGGUUAAUUCUAUUAUAUUUUAAGAAUGCUCUUUAAUUCUCGAACGGCUAUAAUUUGUACUAUAUAAGGACCUCAAUAUGCCUCAUUGUAAAUUCAUUCCAAUAUAUAAUACAAUUUCAAUUUCUUCCAAGUACCUACAUUUUCCUUUCAUGGUAUCAGAGCAAUAGCUCCUGGCAGAAUAAUUAAAUAUUAUUAGUCAACCAUGGCUCUCGUGUCUUCAAAAACUACAUCAACCGUUUCAUAUCCAUAUCCUUCCACAUUGAAUAUAAGCAAUUUUGUCUCUUUAAAACUCACCCAAAAUAACUACAUGUUGUGGAAAACACAAAUAAGUGGGCUUAUUGAAAGCCAAGAUAUGGGAGGUUUCCUAGAUGGAACAUAUCCCGAACCUGCAGAAUUUGUCUUAAAAUCAAUUGUAGAAGCUGAAGCAUCUACAACAAAACAAGAAAAUGUGAUGAAUUAUGAUUACAUAAUGUGGAGGAGAUCGGAUCGACUUCUUCGCGGAUAGAUCGUGGGGACUCUAUUAGAGGAAGUCCUUGGACUUGCUGUGGGAUUAGAAACAUCAGCAGCAGUAUGGAAAGCUUUAUCAGAAUACUUUGCUCGAAACACCAAAGAUAGAGAGUUCUUUCUCAUGCAAAAGAUGCAUCUGCACAGCAAGCAAAAUUAUAAAACUAUCAAUGACUACAUCAGAGGCUUCAAAGAGAUAUGUGAUGAACUUGAUGCCAUUGGCAAAUCGAUGGAAGAUCAACAAAAGGUUUUUGGUCUUCUCAAAGGAUUAGGUAAGGGUUAUAGAUCUUUUGUUACAUCUAUGAUGAAACCUCCAAUACCUUCAUAUAAUGAUGUCAUUCAAUUACUUCAAAGUCAUGAGAACAUGAAAUCUUUUCAUUGCUCUGCAAGUGCUACUGAUGAACACUCUGCCUUUUUUGGUCAAAAUAAAAACAGUGGAAAACACUUUAGAAACAAUAGGCAGGGACAAGUUCCUUUUAACAUGCAGGGACAAAAUCCCCUUAACAGACAAGGGCAAAAUUCCUUCAACUCAAAAGGAAGAGGCUUCCCUCAAGCAGUACAAAAACCUUCGGAAGCACCACAAAGGAAUAAUCAGAAUCCUUCUCAAAAUGAGCAAGACAAAGAUGAUUUAAUUUGUCAGAUUUGUCUUAAGCCUCGACACUCUGCUUUUGAAUGUUGGCACAUAUUCAAACAAGGCUAUCAGCCUAAUAAUGCAGCACAAGCUCUUGCCGCUAUGGCAAUAUCAAAAAAUGAGACUGAUGCAUGGUUUCCUGAUACAAGAGCUACUCAACAUAUGACUUCAGAUAAUGGUAAGUUAAUUCACUGUCAACCAUAUCAUGGAUCAGAUAAGAUAAUGGUAGGUAAUGGACAUAAAUUGAAAAUUACUCAUAUAGGAGAUAUUGUUUUGCACACAGAUAAAAAAUCUGUCAAAUUAAAAAAUGUUUUAGUUGUUCCUGAGAUUAAAAAGACUCUUCUCUCUGUAAGUCAAUUAACCACUAAUUUUCCUUACAUGUUUGAAUUCACUGCAAAUAAUUUUGUGAUUAAGAACAGGAAACAGGGAAAGUGAUCAUAACAGGAACUAGGAAUUGUGGCCUCUAUAGCUUGGAACCAAAUCAAAACAUGACAUUCUACUCAUCAAGGUUUCAAGCAACUAGCGAUACCACAUGGCAUCAACGGCUUGGGCAUCCACAUAUGAAAAUAAUUAGUUAUUUAAAGCAUAAUAAGCUCAUUUCUGUAAAUGAGCAUGACAAGAAAAAAAUUUUAUGUGAAAGUUGCCAAUUAGGAAAAUCUUGUAGACUCCAUUUUCUUCAUAUUGAUGAACAUUGUUCGGAACUUUUUGGUAAAAUUCAUUGUGACUUAUGGGGUCCUGCUCCAGUUAAAUCAUUUCAAAAUUUUAAAUUUUAUGUUAUAUUUGUUGAUGAAUUCACUCGGUUUACUUGGUUUUUUCCUUUACGGAAAAAAAUCUAAUUUCUUUCAUUGCUUUAUUUCUUUUCAUAAAUUUUUGAAAAACCAGUUUGAGAAAAACAUCAAAGUUUUUCAAUCGGAUGGAGGAGGUGAGUUUGGAAGCAAAGAAUUUCAAGAAUAUCUUUUAAAUCAUGGAAUCAAGUCACAGAAAUCAUGCCCAGGAACACCUCAGCAAAACGGUGUUGCUGAGAGAAAGUAUAAGAAUAUCACUGAGCUUGGACUUACUAUGUUGUUUCAUGCUGAAGUUCCUAAACGCUUUUGGGUGGAAGCAUUUCUACUGCAACAUGGCUAAUCAAUAGGUUACCUUCAGCCAUACUUGCCAUGAAAAGUCCCAUUGAGAAGUUAACCGGUAAGAAACCUGACUACUCUUCCUUAAGAGUGUUUGGCUCUAGAUGUUUUUCAUGUCUUAGAAGAAUAACUCAAAAUAAAUUUGAUCCAAAAUAUCUUCCUUGUGUGUUCCGUGGAUAUAAUGAAUUUUAUAAAGGUUAUAGAUGUUUUCACCCACCUACUGGAAAAGUGUAUUUGUCAAGAGAUGUUGUCUUUGAUGAAAAAAUUUUCCCCUUCAUGAAGCCAGGUAUACUUUAUAGUAGUUGUGGUGAACACACAAAUCUAACAAGUUUUAAUGAGUGGAUUAUAGGAACUUUUACUACUGUAAGAAUUAGAAACAACUAUAACCAACCAUCUCCUCGAACAAACAUGGCAGUACCUAUAACAGAAAAUAGCCACAUGGUAGCGGAUAUCAACCAAAAUGAAAAUACUAACCUUGAUAUCUCUACCACAAACAAUGAAGGAAGUGGAGGCCAAGAAUAUAGCAAUAUAAACAUGUUACAGACCCCUCACGAACUUGAUCCAACUAGCAAAGAUUUUGAGGCUACAAACAUUUAGCACCUCAACAUGACUCUGAUCAAGACACAAUGGCUCCUGAACAAGAGGCUGAAGUUUCCCAUGAGUUUAAUCUAACUAGCAUUCAGCCUAACAAAGAUUCAGAAGCUGUUAACAUCUUCGCAUCUCAAAAUCAAACAGAUCAAGACACGAGACAAAAACAUACUCUCGAUUCCACUGUAAGUAUACAACCAUCUCACAACAUGACAACACGUGGCAAAUCAGGUAUAUAUAAAUGCAGCACCAGGUAUAGCCCUACUGAAUUUGUAUUACUUAGUUAUAAUGUGCCAACAGAGCCUAAAGGCAUUAAAGAUGCUUUAUACCAUCCAGGAUGGUUGCAUGCUAUGAAAGAGGAAAUUGAUGCCUUGCAUCAAAAUAAGACAUGGAUAUUAAUUCCAAGAUCCAAUGACAUGAAUGUCAUAGGCUGUAAGUGGGUAUACAAAACAAAACUUAAAGUUGAUGGCACUUUAGAAAGACUAAAAGCUAGGCUAGUGGCCAAAGGCUUUAAUCAAAUUCCAGGAAUUGACUUCCUAGAAACAUUUUCACCCGUUGUAAAACCUGCAACCAUUAGGAUAGUCUUAUCAAUUGCACAAUCCCACAAUUGGGACAUUCGACAAUUAGAUGUCAAAAAUGCAUUUUUACACGGCAAGCUCGAUAAAUAAGUUUUCAUGGAGCAACCCCCUGGAUUUAUUGAUGAAAAAUAUCUGCACCAUGUUUGUGAACUUGACAAAGCUUUAUAUGGGCUAAAACAAGCACCGAGAGCAUGGUUUGAUAGGUUCAGUAUAUUCCUCUUAGCUUAUGGAUUUGUCUGUAGCACUGCUGACUCUUCAUUGUUUAUUUUUCAAAAAAAUCAUAGCGUUAUAUUUUUACUUGUUUAUGUUGAUGAUUUAAUUUUAACAGGAAGCAACCAUAUUCUUCUAAAUCAAUUUCACUGCUCACUUGGAAAGGAGUUUGCUAUGAAAGAUCUUGGUUACAUUCAUUACUUUUUAGGUGUAGAAGUAGCUAAAUUUUCUCAUGGUCUUAUCUUGCAUCAAAGAAAAUAUGCUGCAGAUUUGCUUAAAAGAGCAAAAAUGCAUACUAGUAAACCAUUAUCUACUCAUAUGGUGCCUUACAAUCACCCCAUUGAUACAAGUUUAUUUUCUAAUCCUACCUUCUAUAGAAGCAUUGUAGGUGGAUUACAAUACUUGACAUUUACUAGGCCAGACAUUGCUUGUAGUGUUAAUUUUGUUUGCCAGCAAAUGCAUCAACCGAGCAAUUUUCAUUUUCAAUUAGUCAAAAGAAUUCUCCGAUAUGUCCAAGGAACUUUAGAUCAUGGUAUUCGAUUACUUUCUCACACUAUAACUAAUUUGUAUACAUUUUCAUAUUCGGAUUGGGGUGGUUGUCCUCUAACAAGAAGAUCCACCACAGGAUUUUGCAAAUUUUUAAGUCCUAAUUGUGUAUCCUGGUCAGCCAAGAAACAACCUACUAUGCCCGAUCAAGUACGGAAGCUGAGUAUCGUGCUAUGGCUUCAGCUGCUGCAGAACUCACAUGGAUCACCUAUCUUCUUAGUGACAUUGGCUUUCAGCUUCCUCAACCUCCAACACUAUUUAGUGAUAACAUGUCAGCUCUUCAUUUAAUAGUGAAUCCAGUUCUUCAUGCUCGCACAAAACAUAUUGAGAUUGAUUAUCACUUUGUCCACGAGAAAGUGGCUCAAGGGAAACUAAUCACCCAGUUUGUGAGUUCCAAAGUUCCAAAGAUCAACUAGCUAAUAUAUUUACAAAGCCUCUCUCCAGCACUGCCUUUCAUAAUUUAUGCACCAAACUUGGUAUUUGGACUCUACCACGACCAAGUUGAGGGGGGAUGUUAAAGGAAAAUGUCAGGUUGUAGAAAUAGCAAUCAAUGAGUCAGGAAUCAAGGAAAGGAAUCAAGAAAAUCAGCCAAAAGAUCAGCCUUGACUGCAAGCUAAAGCCGAGAUUUCCUCUGUCAAUAGCAAUCACGAUUUCCUCAAUUGUGGUUAAUUCUAUUAUAUUUUAAGAAUGCUCUUUAAUUCUCGAAGGACUAUAAUUUGUACUAUAUAAGGACCUCAAUAUGCCUCAUUGUAAAUUCAUUCCAAUAUAUAAUACAAUUCCAAUUUCUUCUAAGUACCUGCAUUUUCCUUUCAAAGGGUAUUAAGCUACACCUCAAUUGUGUUAUCAAAAACUCUUUAUAUAUAUAUAUAUAUCAAAAACAAUAUAAUGAUUAUUGUGAUGUUUACGUGGAUAGUAUUAUUGUGAUUAUUGUGAUGUUUAUAUAAAUAAUGAUUACAUAACUCUUGUGAAGCACACAAAAUUAUGAAUUUCGUAAUUUACGUGGUUCACAAGAGUUGUGUAAUUGAAUGUAACUUAAUAUUUGUCUAGCAUUUAACGUUUAUUGAUAUACUUAUUUUGAAGUUUGAACCCUUUAUUGAACUAGCACAUUCACAUGAAGCAGACAAUGAGAGAGCAACAUGCCAACAUCCAACAAGGAAGAUAUUUCAUUGGUCAAAAACAACAAAUAAAUUAAUGAGCGAUUCAUGGUUUGUGCAAAUGGUGGGCCGUGGCCCAUGGGGGCUUAUCAAUGAUGUAAAUUUUGCCUCUCUGCAAAAUUUUGGACGGGUAAAGGAGUUUAAGAGUACUCUUGGUUGGUACUUCUCAAAAAAACAGAGUACUCUUAGUAGGUCCUAUCUAGGGAGCGCGGUCACAUGCAACUAAAUACAUCUCAAAUUAUCCUCUAAUAAAAAUUUGACACGCUCACAGUCGCGCACAAUAAGAUCCGCGACUGCACACACCAAAUCAUGCUCAUACUUUCAAUUCUAUCAAGCAAGCUUAGACCAAGCUCAAAGUAAUCCAUUUAGCAAUUUGGCCGAUUUUGGCAUUUGUUGAAUCUUGACUUUUGGACUUAACUGGAAUCUGAUGUGGCUGGUAACAUGAAAAAUCAUGCAAAAUGCUGUGUGAUUUUUUAGAUUCUGUGAACCCCAUAAACUUAUAUCUAUAGAUUACAACCAAAUCAAAAUUGUUAAAUUUAAAACAUUUCUAACAAGUUUUAGCAUUAAUUAUAGUUUAAUUAGUAAAAUAAACAAUUUUCCAAGAUUUGACCACCUAAGUUUAUAUUCCAAAAUAGAAAAAUCAUCAAUCCCAGCGUAAUUAAAACGAGUUUUUUUAUAAUCUUCAUGACUUAAGAUUUCAAUACGAAUGAUCUCUAUCUCACUUCUUGUUCAAGUGAAUUAUUCGAGGGAAUACCGAAGACUAGAGUAUAAAGAUUGUAGUAGAAAAGUCAAACAAUCUGUGUAUAAAAGUCAAAAGAAUAUUGCUACAUGCAAUCAUAAAAAUAGGUUUAUUUCUUCAACUUAAUUUCUUGUGUUUAAAAACCAAAAUUCUUCUAGAGUGCCAAUUGAAAAUCAACAUCAUGAUUCAUGAGAACUGGUGAUGCUAAUAAAUAAUAAGUUUCUUUUUUAAUUGAUAAUGCUGAUAAAUAAUAGUUAAUUAAAUUUCAACACAUUUCUUUACAUGUUUUAGGAUGAACUCUAAUUCAAUUAGUAAACUAAAGGAUUUUCCAAGAUUUGACAACAUACAUUCAAAUUCCAUAUCGAAAAAUCGUCAAUCCCAAAUCAGAAAAUGAGCCUUUGCGAAUAUUCAAUUACUUAAAAUUAAGAUCACAUGAAUGAUCUCCCGCUUGCUUUUAAAGUGAAUUAUUGUUUGAAUGUCAUUGACAGAUUAUAAAGAUUGCUGUGGAAAUACAUACAAGUUGUCAUAUCAACGAAACCUUAAAAUCAAUAUAUAAAUCAUAAAUACAAAUUCUUUAAGGCCAAACUCACGUCCAAAUAAAAAUUUCGUCCUAGAUCAUUCCCAUAAUGAAUAUGAUCAUCAUAUUUCAAUGUAUUUUGAAAAAUAUUUUUUGUGACGUGUAAAAUUAUUCUUUGAGAAAAUAGUUGUAAAUCAUUUUUUCCCUCCAAGUAACUUUAUUACUAUUAUUAUUAUUGUUAUUAUUUUUUUGGCGUCAAUUUGCAAGUUGCAGCUAAUGGAUAACUUUCACUUUUUCCUUCAUUUUUUUCAGUAACGCAAAAUCAAAUAAAACCAAAGAGUGAGUAAUUUUAAAAUCUCUCAGUAGCAACUUGACCCUUCUUCUGAAAAUUCACGAGACAAAGUCGUUUUGCGCUGCAUCUUUUGUCCUGGCAACUGCCAAAUUCUCACAUGUUCAGAUUCUUUCUACAUUUAUUUGCACACUUGCUUUAUCCAAAUAUAUCCGUCUUCUUUACCCGACCACACGUAAUUGUACAAUUAAUUAUUCUUUUGAUUUAAAUAACAAAAGGACCAAAAGCACUACUGUGAUUAUAAUCCAAACAAAGAACUCUUUAAUCAAGAAUUAAGAGUGUUAAAUUUUUGGUCACCUACUGAACACUGUCAGUCCUGAGAGUAUUUAAUGUCGUACAAAAAUGAGAUGGUGAUGGCGGCUACCAGAAUAAUUUCACUGUGUAAACGAGUCUAUGUUAAUUCUAUUUAUUCUGAAUACAAGAAUCAUUGCACACGUCCAGGGGCUUUCUAACCAUUAUCUGGCAAUUCUGAAAGAUAGUUGCCGCAUCGCCAAAUAUGAAAUCGACUGUGCCUGUAAUUAAGCAACUCCUGUAAAAUUGACGGUGAGUUUGUGCCCACACUGCGUUUUUGUAGCCCUCAAAGCGGCAGUUGUGAAAUGUUGCACGGUCAGAUUGGACCCUAGCAGCCACUGCCUCACCCUUUUCUGGACCCGCAAUGUUUCUGAAUCCCAUUGAUUUAGCAAAUAACCCUUCUCCGAUAGCCACUGCAAAAGCAAUCAACAAUUAAGCAAGUUCGUAAAAUAGAUCCUAGUGCUAGUGAUGGAACCAGUAUUUUGGAUAUCGGUUAUGAUGGAGAAGAACUACAAAUUUGGGGAGACCGCACAACUAAAACGUAAGAUUUACACUGAAUAUGAGCUAAAGUUCGAUUAGGACCCUUGACAUAAAACAAACCCAUUCUCUAAUGUUUUAUGGACUUGCAGGGCCUAGACUCGGGUCUCAACACAGUUCCGGCGCCCCUGCCUGGUGCCGAAAUGUUAAUGUAACUAACGUACCAAAAGUUGCAGCAUCAUAGAUAUUGACUCCGUCUGCAACACUUUUGCGCCCCACAAUGAUGGACUUCUGAGAUCCUUCCCCAAUGAUUGUAAGAUUCACCAUACGCUUUGACACAGUCACACUCUCUUCGUAAAUUCCUGUGGCAACAUAGAUGACAAACCUACAGCGCAUUCAAAAUGGACGAACCAUUACGAAAAUGAAUUGUUUGACAUUGUUAGAAGCUCAAUUGAAUAUCAUAAUUAAUCAUACCGUCCUUCAUAUUUUUGAGGUACGGCUGCCAAUGCUUCAGAAAUUGUUGUAAAGUUUCCGGAGCCAUCUUUUGCCACUAUCAAGUGUGGUUCUAUCUUGUUGUUUUCUUCAUCCUAUGUUGGACCAAGACCAGCAAAUAACCAAUCUUAAUCCCCCAAGAUCCACUCGACUUAGCCUUAAUCAAAGAACUAAUUACAAUCAACCAAUGCUACGUGGAACCACUUAUCGAAAUCAACAGAUAUCAAACAAAAAAAAAAACAGAGAAACAAUCACACACCAACACAAAAAGGGUUAAGUGGUUCAGCCACCAAGUGACCUACAUCCACUGUGAAAGAGAGAAAGAGCCUUUACUGAUUCAGUGUUUACAAGAUACAAGAUGCCUGAGAAAACUAUCACACACUUCAGCAAUACAACAAUGAAAUGAAGACAACUUAUAUACACGCCUGAAUUGCUCUAGAAACAACCCCUAGAAACCAGCUCACUAGGCCUGGGUUUGUUUGUAACAAACCCAUAAAUUUCCCGCUUAUCUUAACAGCAUUAACAUCCGUUCGAACUAGCUUCAAUACAAGUGUAGAAUCUUCACUCAAAACGCAGCAUUCUUCAGUCGUUUAGAAUAAGUAAAGCAUGUGCAAUAUCACGUGCUUAACUUAUUCAUUUGGCUUAUCUACCAGGCUUGUCAUACGGCUCACUUGUGUCACAUAACCGACAUAUCAUCCAGUCCUGAAACUCAAGACUGAUAUGUCAUAUUCAACUACAAAUAUAGAUUUUCAGUUCACUUCUCAACAUUCUCCACCUUGAACCAAAUCUGUUACUCCUCUUUUUCUCCAUCACAAUAUCCUCUGCAGCUUAGAUCCUGUAGACACCAGCUGAGUUCACACAGAACUCAAACUUGGCACAAGGUAAAUCUUUGGUUAACAUGUCUGCCACAUUGUCAUCAGUGUGUAUUUUCACCUAUUUUACCACUCCUUUUGACACUUCCAGCCUGACAAAAUGAAGCUUGAUGUCAAUGUGUUUAGUCUUCUCAUGGUGUAUCUAAUUUUUACUUAAACAGAUAGCACUCUGACUAUCACAAUGAACUGUUAUUUACCUCUGUUCAUACCCCAGAUCAGUCACCAUUCCUUUAAUCCAAAUAGCUUCUUUUAUUGCAUCUGCUGCAGCAGUGUACUCGGCUUCAGUUGUUGACAAAGCAAUAACAUUCUGCAAAGAAACUUUCCAACUUAUAGUGCACCCACUCAGUCUGAACAGAUAUCCAGUCAAUGACCUCCUCUUAUCAAGGUCUCCAGCAUAGUCAAAAUCCACAAAGCCUUCUACAUUGACUUCCUUCUUUCCAUCAGUUCCAUAUAUCAAACCAUAGUUUAUGGUGCCAUUAAGGUACCUUAUAAUCCAUAUCACAGCCUUCCAAUGUUCUUUCCCUGGAUUUGCCAUAUAUCUGCUUACUAGACUCACUACAUAGGACAAAUCAGGUCUGGUCAGAACCAUUGCAUACAUAAGACACCCUACUGCACUUGAAUAUGGAAUUGAGCUAGCUUCAUAUCUUUCAACAUCAGUUUUUGGACACUGUUAUGAUGACAAUAUGAAAUGAGCUGGUAGUGGAGUCUGAACUGGCUUGGCUUUUCCCAUUUCAAACCUUUCAAGCACUUUUCUGAUGUAAUUCUGCUGUGAUAGAAUCAGGGUGCCAUUCUUUCUAUCUCUAAUCAGCUCAACACCAAGGAUCUUCUUAGCCUCACCAAGAUCCUUCAUAUCAAAUGAACCCCUCAGCUGCUAUUUUAGCUUAUUUAUUUGAUCCAUAUGUUUACAUGCUAUCAGCAUGUCAUCAACUUAUAGUAACAAAUAAAUUUCACUGUCAUCUCCUACACCCUUAUGAUACACACAACAAUCAAAGGGACACCUCUGAAAACUGUUUUCAAGCAUAAACCUGUCAAACCUCAAGUAUCAUUGUCUUGGGGAUUGCUUAAGCCCAUAUAAGGAUUUUCUUAGAUGACACACAUGAUCAGGUCUUCUAGGAUCUACAUAUCCUUCUGGUUGUUUCAUCACUAUCAUUUCAUUCAACUCACCAUGAAGAAAAGUAGUCUUAACAUCCAUCUGCUCAAGAUGCAUGUUAUUUACUGCUACAAGUGCUAGCAAGAUCCUUAAGGAGGUAUGUCUUACUACAAGAGAGAAUAUUUAUGUAUAAUCUACACAUUCCUUUUAUGUGAAACCUUUGGCUACAAGCCUGGCUUUGUAUCUCAUUGGCUCAACUUCUGGUAUACCUUCUUUAACCUUGUAAACUCACUUACAGCCAACUACCUUAUUGUUUGGUGGUUUUUCAAUUAAAUUCCAAGUGUGAUUCUUGAACAGUGACUGCAUCUCCUCAUCCAUAACAGCUUUUCAUUUUUCUGAUUCAUUUCCUCUUACAGCUUCUGAGUAUGUUUUUGGUUCAUCUGAGUCAAGGUCAUGUGCUGCUGUCAAUGCAAAUGCAAUCAGGUCUGCAUGUGCAUAUCUCUUAGGUGGUCUUAUAACUAUUCUUUCCCUGUCUCUCACAAGUUGAUAACUUCUGUCACCUUGAUCAUCUCCAGAUUCAGCCUCUGAUUUUGACAUAUUCCUCACAGCUUCAGAUUCUGAUUCAACAAUGGUCUUCUGUUUUGCAACUGGAGUUGAUGACUCCACCUCAAACUGAGACUUGUGGUUCUUACUCAUUUUGUGGUUGGAUUCAGUCUUUGAGGCUUCUGAAUGUUUGCACAUUUCAACCUCAUUGAAGACCACAUCCCUGCUGAUUAUGGCUUUUGGUGGCUUGAAAUCAGUGCACCAGAGCUUAUAUCCCUUUACCCUUUCUGGAUAGCCAAUAAACACACCCUUAAGAGCUCUAGGUUCCAGUUUCUCUUGCUUUGUGUGAGCAUAUGCGAGGCAUCGAAAUACCCUCAUGUUUGAAUAGUCAGCUGGCUUACCUGUCCAAAGCUCAAUUGGAGUUCUGAAGUUGAUUCCAGAAAAUGGACUCCAGUUAACAAUGUAACAGGCAAUGGAUAGGGUCUCUGCCCAUAGUGACAUAGGUAGUCUUGAUUGAAUAAGCAUGCACCUUACCUUAUCAAUCAAGAUUCUGUUCAUCCUCUCAGGUAAUCCAUUUUGCUGAGAUGUAUGUCUCACUGUUUUGUGCCUUACAACCCCAUUCUCAGCACAGAAAUCAUCAAACUUCUUAUUGCAAAAUUCUAACCCAUUGUCAGUUCUCAACAUUCUAACUUUUCUGUUGGUUUGUGUUUCAACCAAGGUCUUCCAGAUUUUGAAUUUCUCAAAAGCAUCAUCUUUGUUCUUUAACACAUAAACUCACACAAUCCUCGAAAAGUCAUCUAUUAGAGACAUUAAGUAUCUAGCUCCACCUAAAGAUGUUGUCUGUGCAGGCCCCCACAGAUCAGCAUGGAUAUAGUCUAGGGUUCCCUUUGAGUUAUGGACUCUCGUACUGAAUUUUACUCUUGAAGACUUGCCUAAAACACAUUCUUCACAAAACCUCAAAGUCUCUAUUUUGUCCUUCCCUAAGACUCCCUGCUUUGACAGUUCCCUCAUCCUUUUUUCACUCAUAUGAUUUAACCUUAAAUGCCACAUUAUUAUUUUAUCUAGACUCUGGUUUGAGACCCCAAUAGCCCCUGUGAUUGCCAUACCUUAAAGCACAUACAUGCCAUUGCUUAAACUUCCCUUCAUUAAUACCAUUGACCCUCUCAUCACCUUUAAGGUACCUGAUUCCAGCUUAAUAAGUCAACUCAUUUUAUCUAGUAUGCCUAAGGAGAUUAGGUUCCUCUUCAGGUUAGGUACAUGUCUUACAUUUACCAACUCCCUUGUCAUACCAUCUAACAUUUUUAGUCUUAUUAUGCAUUUCCCAACUACCUUACAGAUUGCAUCAUUUCCCAUUACUCAUACUCCCCCAUUAUAGGCUUCAUAGUUAAGAAACAAAUUUUUAUUUGGGCACAUAUGAAAGGAGCAACCAGAGUCUAGAACCUAAUUACCUCUGGUUUGGUCAUAAGUCACAAGGAAAACUCCAGCUGAGUCAUAUCCAUCAUAUUCUUGACUUUCUGAAGCAACAACAGCAUCUCCAGUUUUCUCCCUUGUAUAUUUUGGCUUAUUUUUCCUUUCUGGGCAAUCCUUCUUGAAAUGACAUUCCUUAUAGCAGUGGAAGCAUUUCAUGCUCUUGGACCUGGAUUUGGAUCUUUUCUUCUUGCCCUUGUUGCUUUCUUUCUUUUCGAAUCUCCCUCUUGCCAUUAAACCUUCAGCCUCUCUUGAUUCUUUUUUUGUAGCAGCCUUGGAGCUCAAAGUUUCCUUUACAUCUACCAUUGUAAGAGUCUGCCUCCCAUACAUUAGUGUGUCAACCAGAUGUUCAUAGAAGCUUGGUAAUGAGCAUAGUAAGAUCAUUGCUUUAUCUUCAUCAUCAAUCUUUACAUUUAUGUCUUCAAGAUCAAGAAUGAUCUUAUUCAAUGCAUCAAUGUGGUCCGUAAUCGAUGACUCUUCUUCCAUUUAUAACGUGUAAAGCUUUUUCUUGGUGGCUAAUCUCUUAGCCAUUGAUUUCUUGGUAUAUAAAUCUUCAAGCUUCUUACAUAACCCUGCAGCUGUCAUCUCACCACCAACUUCUCUAAGUACCCCAUCACCCAGGCUCAAGAUUAUAGCACUAUGAGCUCUGUCCAACACAUCAGGUAUAUCCUCAUCAGAAACCUUUCUUGGCUUCUUUGAAGAUGAUUCCUCAACAAGAGCUUCAUCCAAACCUUGAUGCACUAGCAGGGCUCUCAUCUUGAGCCUCCACAGGCGAAAGUCAUUUUCACCCGUGAACUUUUCCACCUCAAGCCUAGCUGAUCCCAUUUCCAAGAUUAAAUAAAGCAGUGUCUGCUCUGAAACUAAUUUGUUGGACCAAGACCAACAAAUAAUCAAUCUUAAUCCCCCAAGAUCCACUUGACUUAGCCUUAAUCAAAGAACUAAUUAUGAUCAACCAAUGCUACGUGGAACCACUUAUCAAAAUCAACAGAUAUCAAACAAAAGAAAACAGAGAAACAAUCACACACCAACACAAAAAGGGUUAAGUGGUUCAACCACCAAGUGACCUACAUCCACUGUGAAAGAGAGAAAGAUCUUUUACUGAUUCAGUGUUUAUAAGAUACAAGAUACAAGAUGCCUGAGAAAACUAUCACACACUUCAGCAAUACAACAAUAAAAUGAAGACAACUUAUAUACACGCCUGAAUUGCUCUAGAAACAACCCCCAGAAACCAGCUCACCAGGCUUGGGUUUGUUUGUAACAAACCCAGAAAUUUACCGCUUAUCUUAACAGCAUUAACAGCCGUUCAAACUAGCUUCAAUACACGUGUAGAAUCUUCACUCAAAACGCAGCCUUCUUCAGUCGUUUAGAAUAAGUAAAGCAUGUGCAAUAUCACGUGCUUAACUUAUUCAUUUGGCUGAUCCACCAGGCUUGUCAUACGGCUCACUUGUGUCACAUAACCGACAUAUCAUCCAGUCCUGAAACUCAAGACUGAUAUGUCAUAUUCAACUACAAAUAUAGAUUUGCAGUUCACUUCUCAACAUCCUGCAACAUUUUUCUUUCCUGAUGGCUCAUCCAGGAUGGUAGUACUCCAUCUUUUGAAUCUAAAAGGCCGCGAUGAUCCUUUCCUUCGGGCGUCAAAUUCAUGAUUGAUGACAAGUAUUUUAAAAAUUGGCUUAUCAUAGCUAGAGAAUUGCUAGUGAGUUGCUGGGUUUCAUUCAGGGUUUUGUCCAUGUCAGAUUUCAUUUUUCCUACAGGAAAUCCGUCAAUGCAUGUCUGUUGAUAAGUCAUGACUGCACUUAGCCAAUUGUUCAAUUCACCAGCCCUUUCUACAAGCAUCCCAAGAUCACGCUUUUUGCCACCAACUUAAGAAACACAUCGAUUCAAUUCCUCCUUGGCGUCAUCUAUGGCUUUCUUACAAACUUUAAAUGCAGCUUCUGUUUCUAGGGCAUUAAAAUCAUUGGAUUCUACUUUCUUAAUGGCCUUAUCAAGCUCAACAAUAGUUGCUGCUAUUGAAGCCUUGAGAAAAUCUUUGGGUUCAUCAAUCGAAGGGUCUUUUUCGGCUGCAGCCGACAAAGUAUCAUUGCACGAAUUCUUGUAUGCGGUGCUCCCACACAUAUAGUUGAAAUCAUUUUUUGUGCACGCGAAAUCCCUUUCGGGACUCCAGAUGACGGUGAUGUUUUAGAAGAAUCCUCGCCAUUAUCUUGAGAAACAACUCCAAAAACUCCCGCAGCAAUCAAAAUGAUGAGAACAAAUGCAGAAAUGGCAGAAAUUGUUACUCGCUUUCGAAAUUUUCGUUGUCUUUCAGCCUUCAUGCGUUCUGAUAAAUGAUCAAAAUCUUGAAAUACCAUUAUUGUGACACGGGCAGAGAUCUCUCAGCCUUAACAUCCAAAGCAAAGAUAGAGCGACACGAAAAAAUGAAAAAUUAAAAAAAAAUGCAAGACCAAGAACAAGAGAAAUGGACAGGAGAAUUUUCAGGUGUUAUGUUUAAAAGUCAGUUGAGGGAACUUGUUCGAAACCGGUGAUACAGUAUCUCUACUUUAUAACCGAUUUUCCCUCCUUACCUUGCCUUAAAAUUUUGCAAAAUCACUCUUAAAUCCGCACAACUAAAUAUAAACAAGUACCAUUAAGUAUCAAAUUUAUUUAGGAUUGGCUAUUAAUUAGAGGGGACACUAUGUGGAAUUACAUGUAGUGUAACAUAAUUUGUGCGAUUCUAUAUAUGGCGUGAUUUUGUUCAUUUUAGACUAGGUCUGUACUAUUUUGGUUGCCCUUCACAAAUUCAAAUAGGACUGCGCAUAAUUUCAGUCACUAGUGCUUUGAUCGAAGUUACCUCCAACUCACCCAUGCAGAAAUGUGAAAGCACAUUCUGAAUCUGAGUUCUCUGCUGGGACCUUGUAGCGUAGUGGGGCUCUGCACUUGACAAGCCAUGUUUAUGGUCACUUACGGUGGCCUUUGGUUUUUUGCAGUGUUGACGCGGUUGCCUCUUGAAUACGGAAGAUUAUUUUCCAAGAUGACUUGAUUUACCGGGAUUUGAAAAAUUCUGCAUCCUGUUGGAUGUGAUACAUCUUUGUUGAGUGCUUAAAUUUGUUCCACAUUGAUUAACAAUAAUUAGUAUAUUGACUUUAGUAUAUAGGAUGGGUCAUUUUACGUAAUAUUUUGAGUUGAAUUAACUGCGUGAGUGUGACAAUACAUUUAAUUUUAUUAAAUUAGUAUAUAGUACUUGUAAAAAGAAUCAAUUAAGGGCGGACAUACACAUUAGAAAGUUUUAAAUGCAAAUCAAUAAGAUGCAAAGGGAUGCAAAUAUAAUUAAGUUUGGGACUGCAUACUAAUGAUGAGAAUUUAGCAAAUACAUUGAGAGUAACAAAUAAAGAAUUUUCUAAAUUAGUCAGGACCCAAUGUAGUCUUCAAAUAUCAUAUAGUUUAAUAUACCAAAAUAAAAUAAUUUCUUCCGACAUAGAAACUCUCAUAUCUACUUUAUAACCAAGUCAAAUUAAUAAAAAAUGUAAUCGCUAAGAUAUCCUUCUCCAAUCAGAUCAAUUUCAAUGGUACAUUUUGGGUAUUCCUCGCUUUUGAAUUUUUUUUUAAUACUUUCAGUAAUUAUUUACUAAGAUCGAACUUAACAGACUGUAAUAAAUGAAUAUUAACAAUAUCGCUUUCGACUAGGUUAGGUACUCUUAAUGCGAAAGUGUGUUCAAUCAUUCAUUAGAGUUUUGGAGUUAUUUAUUUAUUUAUAUUUUUAGCAUAGUUUUAAUUAGUAGGUUAUGGUAAAGGCUAAUCUAAACACCGUAAGUACAAGCUAUGCGCAAUUAUCUUUUUGAAAACAAGUAGAAAAGGACACCAUAUGGCGUCAAGCUUCAAGAGUCAAAUCCCACCGGUGAAUAAAUUGUUAAAAGGACAAACCAUUUUUUUCAUCAAAAAGAACAAAAAGACCUGACUUGGUUAGCCAAUCACCAUCUGUUCUCCAUUCUGAUAUCUCAGUAUUCAGAAUCAUCUGCUCAAUUAUAUAGUCAAGUUGAGCAUCUUACCGACAAAAAAACUCAUUAAAUAAACGAAAGAUUAAAAAGAAAUUAGGACUCAAAUUAAAGCUAAGAUAACCAACCAAGUCAGACUCAUAAAAUUGUUUCCUUGGUGUGCGAAACUGCUUUUUAUUUUUAAUUAUAACAUUAUGCCAACUGGGCUGUCUUAGGCAUUUUCUUAAAUAUUGCACUUGAACUCGAUGCUGCGUAUAUGAUAUGAUUCGGCCAAUUUGAUCCUUAAAAUGAUAUUUGCUAUUUAAAAUAAAAGAAAAAAAGAAAGAAAGACAGAAAAAGAAACCCCCCAUAUUCUUCACAUGGUUUUACUGCUAUAUGUUCGUUGUUUGCACACAAAAUGCUACUAACAAGCAAACCUAACACAAGAUUUUAUCGCAUAAGCCUUUCAUUGACAGAUCAAAUCAUUUUCUUACUUCAACCAAAUUUCAUAAAUAUUAACUUUGAGAACCAUACAUAGGCCUUUCAUUGACAGAUCAAAUCAUUUCCUUACGUCAACCAAAUUUCAUAAAUAUCUACUUUAGAAACCAAACUGAUACAAACAAGAGUUCUAGUUACAUUCGAACUUAAUAAAAAUAAAAACUAAUUUUCACAAAAGAUGGUGAUUAAAUCCCAUCUUCGUAAGGAAUUGAAGUUGAAUCCAGCCACUCCUGACCAUUAAUUAACUGUGAUACAGUAAAAGCAUAUGCAUCAGACUCAUCCAUGACAUGAUACCCGGGCCAAGUGACCCGAUUAUCGGUCCCGGAACCUGGACCGUAAUUAUUGAACUCUCCGUAGUACAAUGUGUCCAAGCCUUGAUCACCUGACCACUCGCUCCACCCGGCUGGCUCAAUAAAGUCAUCAAUGUAGGACUCAAGAAAAACUGUUGUUGAGUAGAUCCUCAAGGGCCUGCCUAGGUAACUUUUAACACUUGCAGAAUUUGCAUACAGAUCUUCAGUAGCCAAAAUUGAACAAUUUUGGAUUGAGAUUCCAGUGUUUUCAUUCGGGUCGUCUUUUAAUUGUGCUGUGAUGACUGUGAAUUGCCCUGGCAAUGGCAGUCUAGAUACGAUGUUACAUGCCUGGAGAACCACUGCAGCGUUACCAAAUAUGUAGUCUAUGGUUCCGUAUACGUCGCACUCUCGAUAAAACUGACGAAAUGAGUGUACAUAUAACGUAUCUUGGUAACCAGAGAAGCUGCAUCUGAACAAGGCUGCAAAAUCUGCAUUCACUCUUAAGGCAACCGCUUGGUACUUCUCUGGCCCUGCCUUGUUCUCAAUUGUUAGGUCCCGUGCCAGAAACCGGUCUCCGGACACAGCUGCAAUUAACAAGUUUACAUUGAGAUAUUUUAAAGAUUAGUGCUAACAACACAUUCAGCACUAGUAGAAAUUUUUUCAUUUUAUCUCUAAAGUUCAAAUAUUAGUGGAUUUAUCUCUAAAGUUCAAAUAUUAAUGGAAAAAAAGGCACGAUGCUCUAAAAAGUGUUUUGAAAAUUACCUACUGUUGCAGAUCUGAAAGUGGUCCAGCCAUCGCCCACACUUCUGCUUCCGGUGAUGAUAGUUGAAUCUUUACCGCCUCCAAG